AUGAUGGACACCAUGGCCGUGAGGAGGAGGGGCCCUGGCACGAGACCAGCAGCGGGCACGCGCGUGCAGGAAGGCGGAGCAGGGAACUUAGCGCAGCCGUGGCUUCACCUUGAAGAGGAGGUCGAGGCAGUCGCCCACCAGCGAGACGAAGGCGAGCUUGAUGAUGAGGCAGCCAUGGUCACUGGCGCACGAGGAAGAGAAGAAGGAGGCGAGCGGGAGGUGGCUGUCGGAGGAGAGCAUCUCACACACGGGAAAGAGGUGACAGAGGCAGGGCUUGCCGGCAGCGUUGCAGCACGAGGACGAUGGCGCGGCUACUGA
rnacentral:rRNA from 1 species